AUUGAACGCUGGCGGCAGGCUUAACACAUGCAAGUCGAGCGGGGAAGGGUAGCUUGCUACCUAACCUAGCGGCGGACGGGUGAGUAAUGCUUAGGAAUCUGCCUAUUAGUGGGGGACAACGUUUCGAAAGGAACGCUAAUACCGCAUACGCCCUACGGGGGAAAGCAGGGGAUCUUCGGACCUUGCGCUAAUAGAUGAGCCUAAGCCAGAUUAGCUAGUUGGUGGGGUAAAGGCCUACCAAGGCGACGAUCUGUAGCGGGUCUGAGAGGAUGAUCCGCCACACUGGGACUGAGACACGGCCCAGACUCCUACGGGAGGCAGCAGUGGGGAAUAUUGGACAAUGGGGGGAACCCUGAUCCAGCCAUGCCGCGUGUGUGAAGAAGGCCUUUUGGUUGUAAAGCACUUUAAGCGGGGAGGAGGCUCUUCUAGUUAAUACCUAGGAUGAGUGGACGUUACCCGC
rnacentral:rRNA from 1 species